rnacentral:lncRNA from 1 species
UUCUGGAAUUGAAGAUGCGUUUGGUUGCUCCUCUUCCCUUCGUUCCGUUGAAUGUUGUUCUGGUUCUUUCUGAUUUUCCUCAACUUCAGUAACCACAGGUUCACCUUUUACUGUUUCUGUAGGCUCAACUUCAGUAGCCACAGGUUCUUCUUUUACCGUUUCUGUAGCUUGAACUUCAGUAGCCACAGGUUCUUCUUUUACCAUUUCUCUAGGAUCAACUUCAGUAACCACAGGUUUGACUUUUACUGAUUCUGUCAGAUCAACUUCAGUAACCAGGGGUUCUUUUACUGUUUUUGUAAUUUCAACUUCUGUAGCCACAGCUUCUUCUUUUACUGUCUCUGUAGGAUCAACUUCAGUAACUAUAGGUUCGUCUUUUACCGUUUCUGUUGCCUCGAAUUCAGUAGCUGCAGGUUCAUCUUUUACCAUUUCUGUAGGCUCAACUACAGUUGUCACAGGUUCUUCUUUUACGGUUUCUGUAGCUUCAACUUCAGUAGCCACAGAUUCUUCUUUUACUGUUUCUGUAGCUUCAACUUCAGUAGCCACUGGUUCUUCUUUUACUGUUUCUGUAGCUUCAACUUCAGUAGCCACUGGUUCUUCUUUUACUGUUUCUGUAGCUUCAACUUCAGUAGCUGCAGGUUCGUCUUUUACCGUUUCUGUAGCCUCAACUUCAGUUGCCACAGGUUCUUCUUUUACCGUUUCUGUAGGCUCAACUUCAGUAGCCACGGGUUCUUCUUUUACUGUUUCUGUAGCUUCAGCUUCAGUAGCUAGAGGUUCUUCUUUUACCGUUUCUGUAGGAUCAACUUCAGUAACCACAGGUUCGUCUUUUACGGUUUCUGUAACCUUAACUUCAGUAGCUGCAGGUUCUUCUUUUACUGUUUCCGUAGCCUCAACUUCAGUAGCCACAAGUUCUUCUUUUAGUGUUUCUGUAGCCUCAACUUCAGUAACCACGGGUUCUUCUUUUACUAUCUCUGCA